rfam:Nasonia vitripennis chromosome 5 unlocalized genomic scaffold Chr5_random049, whole genome shotgun sequence.
UCAACAGCUCUUUUCAGAGCUAUAUUAUUUUUUAUUAUUAAUUAUCU